rnacentral:tRNA from 1 species
GGAAGAGCAACGUCUCCGGUGAGAUGCGCGGCCUUCAAAGCCGUUGAGAUGCCUAGCAGGUGUCUGGUGGGUUCGACUCCUACCUCUUCCGCCA